CUGUACACAGAGUUCUUGGAGGAGCCUCCACCAUGGCCUGGACGCUGCUCCUCUUCCAGCUCCUUACUCUCUGCAUAGGUUCGAUGGCUGCCUAUGUGGUCACUCAGCCACCCUCAGUGUCCAUGUCUCUGGGAGAACAAGUCAGCCUGUCCUGUGAUGGGGAUGGUAUUGGUAACAACUAUGUUUCCUGGUACCAGCAGAAGCCUGGCCAAGCCAUUCUACCACUUAUUUAUGGUGAUAGCAACCGGCCUGAAGGGAUCCCUGAGCGAUUCUCUGGCUCCAACUCAGGGAACACAGCCACGCUAAGCAUCUCUGGGCUCCAGGCUGAGGAUGAGGCCGAUUAUUACUGCUUAGCGUCGGGUAGUAGUGGUGUACACAGUGACACAGACUGAUGGGGAAGUGAGACAAAAACCCCUGCCAGCCUCUGCUCACACAGCGCCCUUCCUCCUGGAGAAGUGGCUGGUGAAGACAGACAUCAACAACUUCUCCUUCAGGCCUCUCUUAUUCCCCAACUCCUUUCACAGCCAGAAGCAGAGCCAUUAUCAAACAUUUAUUAACAUUUAUACUGUGGUUGGACUAAGAGAAAUGGAGAUGGGCUAAGGCAGUCCAGAAUGAGUGUAGCCAGACAGGAAAUGAGAUGUUUGAGAGGAAACAUCGUCUCUGCUCUUUCAUCUGGGUGGUCCCAUCUUCCUCUCUGGCCCUCUUUUCCAAGGCUCCUUCCCCAGGCCCAGUUCCUCACCUGCUCCCCCCUCAUUCCUUGGUAUCUGCUACCCUCUGAAAGCCCAUUGUAGCCUUUCUCCUGCUUGGGCCACUUAGAUGAAGCUCUGGCCCCAGAGCCUUCUGGUCCGGGUCAGACCCACUUGGAUCUCAGGAUCUUCUCUCCCCCCUGGAAACUUAG